GACGAGGGGUCCAAGCGUUGUUCGGAAUCAUUGGGCGUAAAGCGGGUGUAGGCGGCUUUGUAAGUCAGGAGUGAAAUCCCCAAGCUUAACUUGGGAAGUGCUUUUUUGAUACUGCAAAGCUUGAAUGUGGGAGAGGAUGGUGGAAUUCCAGGGUGUAGUGGUGAAAUUACGUAGAUAUCUGGAAGGAACUCCGGUGGCGAAGGCG
rnacentral:rRNA from 1 species